rnacentral:lncRNA from 1 species
UUGCAUAUUCGAAUAUGUUGAUCAUGCACAUAUAAACGAAGACGAACAUACAAUGUAAAAAACAAAACAAAAAAAGGUGUGGUUUUGUUUUUGACAAAGAGGGCAAAUACAAGGGUAAAACUGAAAUUGUAAAACACUUGAUUUUAAUUUCAUUAUUUUAUUACCUAUUAAAUAAUUUUAAUUCAAAUAUUUAUUUUCUUUUCAUACAUCUUACUCUACCGAAC